rnacentral:rRNA from 1 species
GAGUUUGAUCGUGGCUCAGAUUGAACGCUGGCGGCAUGCCUUACACAUGCAAGUCGAACGGCAGCACGGGAGCUUGCUCCUGGUGGCGAGUGGCGAACGGGUGAGUAAUGCAUCGGAACGUAUCCUGGAGUGGGGGAUAACGUAGCGAAAGUUACGCUAAUACCGCAUAUUCUGUGAGCAGGAAAGCGGGGGACCUUCGGGCCUCGCGCUCUUGGAGCGGCCGAUGUCGGAUUAGCUAGUUGGUGAGGUAAAGGCUCACCAAGGCGACGAUCCGUAGCAGGUCUGAGAGGAUGAUCUGCCACACUGGAACUGAGACACGGUCCAGACUCCUACGGGAGGCAGCAGUGGGGAAUUUUGGACAAUGGGGGCAACCCUGAUCCAGCCAUGCCGCGUGAGUGAGGAAGGCCUGG